rnacentral:rRNA from 1 species
CGCGUAGGCGGUUUUUUAAGUCAGAUGUGUAAUCCCCGAGCUUAACCUUGGGAACUGCAUCUGAGACUGGAAGGCUAGAGUACUGGAGAGGGUGGUGGAAUUCCUCGUGUAGCGGUGAAAUGCGUAGAGAUGAGGAGGAACACCAGUGGCGAAGGCGGCCACCUGGACAGUAACUGACGCUGAGGCGCGAAAGUGUGGGUAGCAAACAGGAUUAGAUACCCUGGUAGUCCACGCUGUAAACGAUGAACACUUGGUGUGGAGGGAGUUGACCCCUUCCGUGCCGGAGCUAACGCGUUAAGUGUUCCGCCUGGGGAGUACGGUCGCAAGGCUGAA